rnacentral:rRNA from 1 species
AUUGAACGCUGGCGGCAUGCCUUACACAUGCAAGUCGAACGGCAGCACGGGGCAACCUGGUGGCGAGUGGCGAACGGGUGAGUAAUGCAUCGGAACGUACCUUUCAGUGGGGGAUAACGCAGCGAAAGUUGUGCUAAUACCGCAUAUUCUGUGAGCAGGAAAGCGGGGGAUCUUCGGACCUCGCGCUAUUCGAGCGGCCGACGUCUGAUUAGCUAGUUGGUGGGGUAAAGGCCUACCAAGGCGACGAUCAGUAGCGGGUCUGAUAGGAUGAUCCGCCACACUGGGACUGAGACACGGCCCAGACUCCUACGGGAGGCAGCAGUGGGGAAUUUUGGACAAUGGGCGAAAGCCUGAUCCAGCCAUGCCGCGUGUCUGAAGAAGGCCUUCGGGUUGUAAAGGACUUUUGUCAGGGAGGAAAUCCUGCUGGUUAAUACCUGGCGGGGAUGACAGUACCUGAAGAAUAAGCACCGGCUAACUACGUGCCAGCAGCCGCAGUAACAC